rnacentral:lncRNA from 1 species
CUCACAAGAUCUGAUGGGUUUAUAAGGGGUGUCUGCCUUUGCUUCUUCCUCAUUUUCUCUUGCUGCUGCCAUGUAAGAAGAACUUUUCACCUCCUGCCAUGAUUCUGAGGCCUCCCCAGCCAUGUGGAAGUAGUCAUAAUGGUGAAGAGGAUGGUGACAUCCAAGGACAACCACAGGGCCUCUCUCCUGACACUGGUGAGAACCAGAUUCCUUUCCCUGGUUCUGUAGCUCCCAGCAGAGUUUUGGAAGCUGAUUAAAGAGAAUGUUGGAAAUAACAGGCAAUUAGAAACCUUAUUAAAAAAAGGAAAAACACUCUCAU